rnacentral:rRNA from 1 species
AGUGAACGCUGGCGGUAGGCCUAACACAUGCAAGUCGAACGGCAGCACAGUAAGAGCUUGCUCUUACGGGUGGCGAGUGGCGGACGGGUGAGGAAUACAUCGGAAUCUACUUUUUCGUGGGGGAUAACGUAGGGAAACUUACGCUAAUACCGCAUACGACCUACGGGUGAAAGCAGGGGAUCUUCGGACCUUGCGCGAUUGAAUGAGCCGAUGUCGGAUUAGCUAGUUGGCGGGGUAAAGGCCCACCAAGGCGACGAUCCGUAGCUGGUCUGAGAGGAUGAUCAGCCACACUGGAACUGAGACACGGUCCAGACUCCUACGGGGGGCAGCAGUGGGGAAUAUUGGACAAUGGGCGCAAGCCUGAUCCAGCCAUACCGCGUGGGUGAAGAAGGCCUUCGGGUUGUAAAGCCCUUUUGUUGGGAAAGAAAAGCAGCAGGUUAAUACCCCGCUAUUCUGACGGUACCCAAAGAAUAAGCACCGGCUAACUUCGUG